AGAUCAACUUCUGUGAUCAAAGAGGCUCACACUUCAGUUCAAGGAAAGCGGGCUAGGCAUGGCAAGAUUGUGCUUAAUAUCUUCGAGAUGGGCACCGGAUGAGCAGCUGGACCAAUCAGCUUCCACGCAGGCAAACAAAUACUAGCCGCAGUACCUGGAGAGGUCCUCUUAGAUUCUUUCAGUACUUUCAGCAAGGGUAUCGAUGCAGCUGAAGUUGCCGAAAAACAAGCUCUUUCUACUUCAUCCAAAACUUCAACCAAAUUAGUUAGCGAUAGACACUUACAGAAGAAAUGCUCUUGUCUGAUCUUAAAGAAAGCAGCUGAGGCGAACAAAGAAAACAUAUCCGCUCUCAUGGUAUGCUUAGCUACAGAAUAUAUUCAUGAUGUUUGUAAUACACAGAAUUUGUAUUCCCUUAGGACAUAGGAAUGAACUGAACUUAUGAAGUUUCUAUGUAUUCCCUUAACAAAAAAAAUUGCUACUUAGGAAAAUUUCAGUUAUUUUUUAUACUCCCUCCGUCCAACUUUACUUGCCAAAAUUGUGUUUUCUUUAACAAAUUUGUACCAAAAAAUUGAUAU